CAACAGUCACCAAAUUAUGUCGUAAGCUACAUAGAGAAAAAAAAGAGCACAAAUGUAAGCCUUGUCCAAAGAGAUGGAUGUGGCAUGAGGACAGCUGCUAUUUCCUAAGUGAUGAUUCCCAAACAUGGCAGGAGAGUCAAAUGGCCUGUGCUGCUCAGAAUAGCAGCCUGUUGAAGAUUAACA